rnacentral:rRNA from 1 species
ACGCUGGCGGCAUGGAUUAGGCAUGCAAGUCGAACGGACAUAGCAAUAUGUCAGUGGCGAAAGGGUGAGGAACGCGUGAGCAACCUGCCCUCAAGUUGGGAAUAACAGCUAGGAAACGGCUGAUAAUACCGGAUGUGGCUCCUGGACGCAUUGUUUGGGAGGACUAAAGAUUUUUAUCGCUUGAGGAUGGGCUCGCGUCCCAUUAGCUAGUUGGUGAGGUAACGGCUCACCAAGGCAACGAUGGGUAGCUGGUCUGAGAGGAUGGUCAGCCACACUGGGACUGAGACACUGCCCAGACUCCUACGGGAGGCUGCAGUCGAGAAUCUUGGGCAAUGCGCGAAAGCGUGACCCAGCAAUGCCGCGUGCGGGAUGAAGGUCUUCGGAUUGUAAACCGCUGUCACUCGGGACGAAAAAUGACGGUACCGAGGGAGGAAGCCACGGCUAACUACGUGCCAGCCGCCGC